rnacentral:rRNA from 1 species
CUACGGGAGGCAGCAGUGGGGAAUAUUGGACAAUGGGCGAAAGCCUGAUCCAGCCAUGCCGCGUGAGUGAUGAAGGCCUUAGGGUUGUAAAGCUCUUUCGGCGGGGACGAUAAUGACGGUAACCGGAGAAGAAGCCCCGGUCAACUUCGUGCCAGCAGCCGCGGUAAUACGAAGGGGGCUAGCGUUGUUCGGAAUUACUGGGCGUAAAGCGCACGUAGGCGGAUACUUAAGUCAGGGGUGAAAUCCCGGGGCUCAACCCCGGAACUGCCUUUGAUACUGGGUGUCUAGAGUCCGGAAGAGGUGAGUGGAAUUCCGAGUGUAGAGGUGAAAUUCGUAGAUAUUCGGAGGAACACCAGUGGCGAAGGCGGCUCACUGGUCCGGUACUGACGCUGAGGUGCGAAAGCGUGGGGAGCAAACAGGAUUAGAAACCCCUGUAGUCC